ensembl:lncRNA
CCCCAGGGCAGGGCGGGGCGAUCCCAGCGUGCGGCCCUGAGGCACUGUCCCCACACCGCUCCACACUGUCCCGAAGCCCCCGAGCGCCAGCCCGGACCCCGGGACACGCCCCCCACCACACACACACACACACACACACACACACACACACACACACACUCCCCCCCCGACCCCGGGACACACACCCCCACCCCACCCCCUGCACCCCCGCACCCCCGACCGCUGGGACACCCCCCACACACUCCCCUCCCCUCCAGCAACGCGCGGCGCUCCCAUCCCCCGGCAGCCCACCAGGUGGCGCUCGCUCCCCAUUUCCCCCCCCCCUCCCGCGCCGACGCCCGUGACGUCAGCCGCCCGGCUCCAUUUGAGCGCCUCUCGGCAGCCGAGAACUCGGACUUCCCGUGUGGCUCACAACAUAACUACUCGGCGUUGCUUCUACAGUGGCUGUGGCUCGACCCCUGGCCUGGGAACUUCCAUAUGCCGCAGCCCCGCGGCGGCAGAUGGCACUCGUUCUGCCGCUUUUUCCUGGCUGUGUGCGAUGCCAUCGCAUAGAUGUCCCCGGGUCUGCGAAGUGCACUCACCUGUCAGUGGACCUUUAGGUGGCUUCCAGAUCUUGGCUCUGCCCCGCGGCGGCAGAUGGCACUCGUUCUGCCGCUUUUUCCUGGCUGUGUGCGAUGCCAUCGCAUAG